CUGGCUCAGGACGAACGCUGGCGGCGUGCCUAAUACAUGCAAGUCGAACGAACUCUGGUAUUGAUUGGUGCUUGCAUCAUGAUUUACAUUUGAGUGAGUGGCGAACUGGUGAGUAACACGUGGGAAACCUGCCCAGAAGCGGGGGAUAACACCUGGAAACAGAUGCUAAUACCGCAUAACAACUUGGACCGCAUGGUCCGAGUUUGAAAGAUGGCUUCGGCUAUCACUUUUGGAUGGUCCCGCGGCGUAUUAGCUAGAUGGUGAGGUAACGGCUCACCAUGGCAAUGAUACGUAGCCGACCUGAGAGGGUAAUCGGCCACAUUGGGACUGAGACACGGCCCAAACUCCUACGGGAGGCAGCAGUAGGGAAUCUUCCACAAUGGACGAAAGUCUGAUGGAGCAACGCCGCGUGAGUGAAGAAGGGUUUCGGCUCGUAAAACUCUGUUGUUAAAGAAGAACAUAUCUGAGAGUAACUGUUCAGGUAUUGACGGUAUUUAACCAGAAAGCCACGGCUAACUACGUGCCAGCAGCCGCGGUAAUACGUAGGUGGCAAGCGUUGUCCGGAUUUAUUGGGCGUAAAGCGAGCGCAGGCGGUUUUUUAAGUCUGAUGUGAAAGCCUUCGGCUCAACCGAAGAAGUGCAUCGGAAACUGGGAAACUUGAGUGCAGAAGAGGACAGUGGAACUCCAUGUGUAGCGGUGAAAUGCGUAGAUAUAUGGAAGAACACCAGUGGCGAAGGCGGCUGUCUGGUCUGUAACUGACGCUGAGGCUCGAAAGUAUGGGCAGCAAACAGGAUUAGAUACCCUGGUAGUCCAUACCGUAAACGAUGAAUGCUAAGUGUUGGAGGGUUUCCGCCCUUCAGUGCUGCAGCUAACGCAUUAAGCAUUCCGCCUGGGGAGUACGGCCGCAAGGCUGAAACUCAAAGGAAUUGACGGGGGCCCGCACAAGCGGUGGAGCAUGUGGUUUAAUUCGAAGCUACGCGAAGAACCUUACCAGGUCUUGACAUACUAUGCAAAUCUAAGAGAUUAGACGUUCCCUUCGGGGACAUGGAUACAGGUGGUGCAUGGUUGUCGUCAGCUCGUGUCGUGAGAUGUUGGGUUAAGUCCCGCAACGAGCGCAACCCUUAUUAUCAGUUGCCAGCAUUAAGUUGGGCACUCUGGUGAGACUGCCGGUGACAAACCGGAGGAAGGUGGGGAUGACGUCAAAUCAUCAUGCCCCUUAUGACCUGGGCUACACACGUGCUACAAUGGAUGGUACAACGAGUUGCGAACUCGCGAGAGUAAGCUAAUCUCUUAAAGCCAUUCUCAGUUCGGAUUGUAGGCUGCAACUCGCCUACAUGAAGUCGGAAUCGCUAGUAAUCGCGGAUCAGCAUGCCGCGGUGAAUACGUUCCCGGGCCUUGUACACACCGCCCGUCACACCAUGAGAGUUUGUAACACCCAAAGUCGGUGGGGUAACCUUUUAGGAACCAGCCGCCUAAGGUGGGACAGAUGAUUAGGGUGAAGUCGU
rnacentral:rRNA from 1 species